rnacentral:rRNA from 1 species
UACGUAGGGGGCUAGCGUUGUCCGGAUUUAUUGGGCGUAAAGAGCGUGUAGGCGGCCAGGUAGGUCUGCUGUGAAAACUCGAGGCUCAACCUCGAGACGUCGGCGGAAACCAUCUGGCUAGAGUCCGGAAGAGGAGAGUGGAAUUCCUGGUGUAGCGGUGAAAUGCGCAGAUAUCAGGAGGAACACCAGCGGCGAAGGCGGCGCUCUGGGCUGGAACUGACGCUAAGGAGCGAAAGCGUGGGGAGCAAACAGG